CCUACGGGAGGCAGCAGUAGGGAAUUUUCGUCAAUGGGCUCACGCCUGAACGAGCGAUGCCGCGUGAGUGAAGAAUGCCUUCGGGUCGGAAAGCUCUGUUGCGGGGGGAAAAAGGCAGCAUCAGGAUAUGGGUGCUGACUGAUGGUGCCCCGACAGAAAGUCACGGCUAACUCCGUGCCAGCAGCGGCGGUAAUAAGGAGGUGGCGAGCGGUGUCCGGAAUGAUUGGGCGUAAAGGGUGCGCAGGCGGGCCUGCAAGUCUGGAGUGAAACGCAUGAGCUCAACUCAUGCAUGGCUUUGGAAACUGGAGGACUGGAGAGCAGGAGAGGGCGGUGGAACGCCAUGUGUAGCGGUAAAAUGCGUAGAUAUAUGGAAGAACACCAGUGGCGAAGGCGGCCGCCUGGCCUGUUGCUGACGCUGAGGCACGAAAGCGUGGGGAGCAAAUAGGAUUAGAUACCCGGGUAGUC
rnacentral:rRNA from 1 species